rnacentral:rRNA from 1 species
GACGAACGCUGGCGGCGUGCCUAAUACAUGCAAGUAGAACGCUGAAGGAGGAGCUUGCUUCUCUGGAUGAGUUGCGAACGGGUGAGUAACGCGUAGGUAACCUGCCUGGUAGCGGGGGAUAACUAUUGGAAACGAUAGCUAAUACCGCAUAAGAGUAGAUGUUGCAUGACAUUUGCUUAAAAGGUGCAAUUGCAUCACUACCAGAUGGACCUUCGUUGUAUUAGCUAGUUGGUGGGGUAACGGCUCACCAAGGCGACGAUACAUAGCCGACCUGAGAGGGUGGUCGGCAACACUGGGACUGAGACACGGCCCAGACUCCUACGGGAGGCAGCAGUAGGGAAUCUUCGGCAAUGGGCGGAAGUCUGACCGAGCAACGCCGAGUGAGUGAAGAAGGUUGUCGGAUCGUAAAGCUCUGUUGUAAGAGAAGAACGAGUGUGAGAGUGGAAAGUUCACACUGUGACGGUAUCUUACCAGAAAGGGACGGCUAACUACGUG